AGUGAACGCUGGCGGUAGGCCUAACACAUGCAAGUCGAACGGCAGCACCGUAAGAGCUUGCUCUUACGGGUGGCGAGUGGCGGACGGGUGAGGAAUACAUCGGACUCUACUUUUUCGUGGGGGAUAACGUAGGGAAACUUACGCUAAUACCGCAUACGACCUACGGGUGAAAGCAGGGGAUCUUCGGACCUUGCGCGAUUGAAUGAGCCGAUGUCGGAUUAGCUAGUUGGCGGGGUAAAGGCCCACCAAGGCGACGAUCCGUAGCUGGUCUGAGAGGAUGAUCAGCCACACUGGAACUGAGACACGGUCCAGACUCCUACGGGAGGCAGCAGUGGGGAAUAUUGGACAAUGGGCGCAAGCCUGAUCCAGCCAUACCGCGUGGGUGAAGAAGGCCUUCGGGUUGUAAAGCCCUUUUGUUGGGAAAGAAAAGCAGCAGGUUAAUACCCCGCUGUUCUGACGGUACCCAAAGAAUAAGCACCGGCUAACUUCGUG
rnacentral:rRNA from 1 species